rnacentral:rRNA from 1 species
CAAGUCGAACGGUAACAGGGUAGCAAUACCGCUGACGAGUGGCGCACGGGUGCGUAACGCGUAUGCAAUCUACCUUUAACAGGGGAAUAGCUCAGAGAAAUCUGAAUUAAUACCGCAUAAUAUAGUGAGUGGGCAUCCACUUACUAUCAAACCUUCGGGGGUUAAAGAUGAGCAUGCGUAUCAUUAGCUAGUUGGUGAGGUAACGGCUCACCAAGGCUACGAUGAUUAGGGGGUCUGAGAGGAUGAUCCCCCACACUGGUACUGAGACACGGACCAGACUCCUACGGGAGGCAGCAGUAAGGAAUAUUGGUCAAUGGACGAAAGUCUGAACCAGCCAUGCCGCGUGCAGGAUUAAGGCCCUAUGGGUCGUAAACUGCUUUUAUACGGGACAAAACCCCCCUACGUGUAGGGGGCUGAUGGUACUGUAAGAAUAAGGAUCGGCUAACUUCGUGCCAGCAGCCGCGGUAAUACGAAGGAUUCGAGCGUUAUCCGGAUUUAUUGGGUUUAAAGGGUGCGUAGGCGGACUGAUAAGACAGUGGUGAAAGCCUGUUGCUUAACAACAGAACUGCCAUUGAUACUGCCAGUCUUGAGUACAGUUGAGGUAGGCGGAAUGUGUCAUGUAGUGGUGAAAUACUUAGAUAUGACACAGAACACCGAUUGCGAAGGCAGCUUGCUAAACUGUAACUGACGCUGAGGCACGAAAGCAUGGGGAGCAAACAGGAUUAGAUACCCUGGUAGUCCAUGCCCUAAACGAUGAUUACUCGAUGUGUGCGAUACACAGUACGCGUCUAAGCGAAAGCAUUAAGUAAUCCACCUGGGAAGUACGACCGCAAGGUUGAAACUCAAAGGAAUUGACGGGGGCCCGCACAAGCGGAGGAGCAUGUGGUUUAAUUCGAUGAUACGC